CUCCCCUUUCUUUUAUCUUUAUUUUUCGGUCCUCUUUCCCCUUGCUCAUCUGCUUCUCUCUUCAACUCUAUAGACCUGAAAUAACCUUAUUUCCCCUUUCUCAUAUCUUUGUCUCUUCAACUCUGCAAACCCGAAUAAAACUUUUCUUCCAUCACCUUCAUCAGUACCUUACGAAUUUUCUCUGCUCAAAAUCAAAGAAACCCUAGAAUUUAUAUAUUUUUUAUUUCUCAGUAACAAUUCAAAGUAGAUAUAAACACACAGAUCUGCAGUACAAUAGUUUGAAUCGAAGAGGAAACAAUAGAUCAGAAUCCUUCUUCAAUUUUUGUUUUUUGAUCCAUUUUCUCUUGUUACUAGUGUUCUCAAGUGUGAAAAGAAGAAAAUAUGUCUACCUGAUUUCGAUGGCCUUGCUGAUGUCUAUCUUUUAUUAAAUCUACCAUGGGAAGGGCUUGAAUAAUUGCUGAUAGAUUUAAUGUUGGUGGCGGAGUGUGUUGGUGGUGUUCGUGAUGCCGAUGGUGCUGUUAAUGGUAGUGUUUGGAGGUGUAUGUGUUGGCGUUGCUGCUACCAAAAGGUGGUGAUGGUAUCUUAAUAAUUACAUAAACAUUGAUGCAAGUGAUGAAUCUUGCAGAUGGGUUAUGUAAUUCUGGAUUUGUUGCUUUGAUUAUUGAGGUAAAUAUUGGUUUGUUUGUAACUGGCAGUAAGUGGAAGUACACUUUAGGAUGAUGAUGAUGAUAAGAAGGUGAUGUGAAAAUGAGAUUUCAUUUUUUGUUAGUUAUUUUAGCAGUGUAGAGUUUGCCUUAAUUGUUUAGUAUUGUGUUAGUGUUGAUUGGUUUUAUACAGAUUGUUGGUUAGUUGGUUUAUUUUUCAUUGUUGAUUACAGCUUAAGGCUGCUGGAUGUUCCUCAGAUGUAUCUUUUUUUCCAUUUUUGUUAUUCUUCCUCACAGUGCCUCAUAUAUGGUACAUGUAUCAAAACAGGUUGGCAUCGGGAUCAACUCAUUGGAGAUAUGACUACUCUGAAUCCCCUUGACUAGGUGGCAUCGAUCGGGAGCAACUUAUUGGAGAUAGACUACUCUGGACCCCUUUUUUCCACUGGAGUGUUGUUCUAGUUUUGGGAAGGACACAAAUAGGUGCUACCAUCUUGCAUUCCAUCUUUAAAAAAAGCCUUUGAAGCGUCAGCUCAUAUAGGCUGGCUCAAUUGAGGGCAUAAGUGGUGUACAUCAUUUGGAUGAGGCUCUGGAAGCGGAAAACCUCACCAUCAAAUGCCACAUAGAGGGGAAGGAGAUACAGUUAGUCAAUUUGUUCAUUACACAUUUACAACAACUGGAUCAGAUGGUGCCUUCAAUUUCACCUUUCACAAUCUGUCUUUAUGCUAUCCUUGUCAAUGGUAUCGAUGAUGUGAUAAUUACCAAUGGUAUCGAUGGUGCUACAAACUAAAGAUUCGAAGAGUUGGAUGAGCUUCAAGAUCGAGAAGUUGGAGAUUGGACUACUUAUGUUGUAAUUGUUGAUGCAUAAUUUGACAAGAGAGAAAAUAAGCAGGUCAGAAGUAAAAUAAUCCAACAUCUAUGAUCAGUGGGCACAAACUACAAAGUAACGUCCAAUUUUGUGAAUUCCCACUCAAUGCUUGUGUCAAGAUAGUUGGAUUUCCAUGGAUCAAAUUAUUAAAAAAACAUCUGAACAUCCUCGGUGUCAUCAGUACGUUGGAAUGCUUGUGAAAUGUGUACCAUUACGAAGCGUUGGGUUGGUUUGUUUCACCGCAUGUGUAUCAAGUGUGGGGGGUUAGUUGAACACCAUGCAGUUUAUCAUUUUACUGAAUUCAUUUUUGUAUGAUUUUGAAUCCAAGUUUAAACUGAAUUCAGUUAUAACUUGUGUAAUGAAAACAGUUAAUGAUUAAUGGAAAGGUCAUUUUGAAUCUGA